GUCUAAAUUAUGUUCAAAUAUUAGGUUUGCUAAAUGCUUUAAGGUCAUAAACUGCUUCUUUGGCUUUUGAAAAUUGUUUAACCUGCCUACUUUCCUGCUAGGUAAGGCCUGGGGACAUAUAGAGUUGGCCAUACCCCUAGCUGUGCUGGAAAUAUGCAAACUUUAUCAUAACAAAGCUUACCAGAUUUUACAUUAAAAUUCACCAUUAUAACAUGCAAUUAAAACUACUAGAAACCAAUUUACAUGCAAGGUGUUUAAGAACAGUAGAAUUUGUGAGGUUUUUUUUUUUUUUUGUAAAAUGUUAUAAAAAGUUUUAUCUUCUUUUCAAUUUCUGAGUCAUCAUUUUGGUAAAAUAAAUAAUGCUAAUCUGGAUUUCCAAUGUCAAACUUCAGUUUCAGGAUUGUAUUUCCUAAUGCCUGUCUUUUUGGAUGGAUCAGAGGGCCUCUGAAAACAAUCAGAAGGGAAAUCGAUGCCAGCAAAAAUGUUCUUCUCUAAAGAGCCAGGUAGUACUUGAUUUUGGCUUUGUGGAACAUAUGGUUUUGUGGACCAAAUACUCAACUGUGCCCCAAAGCUGCCGCAGACAGUAGGUAAAAGAAAUUAUGUGGCUGUACUCCAUUCACACUGUCUAUACAGGGUGACUUUGACUAGAAGGCUAUAGUUUUCUGAUUUCUAAUGUACAGUGCAAAACUUGAAUUUUCUGCUUGGGAUAGAUAAAUAGUUGGAAUAUGGGGAGAAAGUUAACUGUUUUUACACAUAGUACACAAAAUUCAAAUUUUAACCAUACAGCUCAUUACCACUUCUAUAGUCCCUGGUUCCAGGUUCCUACACUUCCUAAGCAUCUCUAGGAUUCUCCAAAAAUAUUAAUUUACUUCUUAUCAAUUUAUG
rnacentral:lncRNA from 1 species